GCAUUUGAAAUGAUCGCCAGGCAGCUGGCAGGUUUCCGUUCAAGAGUCUUGCGUGGAAAGACAGGAAUGAGAAACAAAUUAUUUGAUUUGAAAGAGAAGUAAAUCUUCAGAGCAACGAGGGAGGAUCAAAGAGUAAGUUCGUGUGAACUUAAGAAGUGACCCUUUCCAGGGGAACGUGACUGGACUCUUUCCACGCACUCAACGCAUCUUGGAGCCAGGCUCUGUGCCUCAACUUCUACAGUCACUCUGGCCCCUGCAGCGUGUUGCAAGGUGAAGGUCUUUGCACACUUGGGGGAAAUUCGUGGGUGGGGGGGGGAGGCAGAAAACGGCUGAGAACCAGGCCACCCGAGAGGGAGCCGCUGAGUCUC